UUUUGUGAUGAUACACAUUCAGACCUGUUCCGAACUUCAGUGAGGACAACUCUAUAUUGCCUUUUUAUCUGAAU
rnacentral:snoRNA from 1 species